UACGGGGGGAGCAAGCGUUGUUCGGAUUUACUGGGCGUAAAGGGCGCGUAGGCGGCCUCCGCAAGUCGACUGUGAAAUCUCCGGGCUUAACCCGGAAAGGUCAGCCGAAACUGCGGGGCUAGAGUGCAGAAGGGGCAACUGGAAUUCUCGGUGUAGCGGUGAAAUGCGUAGAUAUCGAGAGGAACACUGCGGUGAAGGCGGGUUGCUGGGCUGACACUGACGCUGAAGCGCGAAAGCUAGGGGAGCGAACGGG
rnacentral:rRNA from 1 species